GGAGAAAAGCAGGGGAUCGCAAGACCUUGCGCUUUUGGAGCGGCCGAUGUCUGAUUAGCUAGUUGGUAGGGUAAAGGCUUACCAAGGCAACGAUCAGUAGUUGGUCUGAGAGGACGACCAGCCACACUGGGACUGAGACACGGCCCAGACUCCUACGGGAGGCAGCAGUGGGGAAUUUUGGACAAUGGGCGAAAGCCUGAUCCAGCCAUGCCGCGUGAGUGAAGAAGGCCUUCGGGUUGUAAAGCUCUUUCAGUCGAGAAGAAAAAAUUGCGACUAAUAAUCGCAAUUCAUGACGGUAUCGACAGAAGAAGCACCGGCUAACUACGUGCCAGCAGCCGCGGUAAUACGUAGGGUGCAAGCGUUAAUCGGAAUUACUGGGCGUAAAGGGUGCGCAGGCGGCCUUGUAAGUCAGAUGUGAAAUCCCCGGGCUUAACCUGGGAAUUGCGUUUGAAACUACAAAGCUAGA
rnacentral:rRNA from 1 species